GGUGUGGCGCAGUUUGGUAGCGCGCCUGCUUUGGGAGCAGGAGGCCGCGGGUUCGAAUCCCUCCGCC
rnacentral:tRNA from 1 species